GGGCCCGUAGCUCAGCCAGGACAGAGCGCCGGCCCUCUAAGCCGGUGGCCGUGGGUUCGAAUCCCACCGGGCCCG
rnacentral:tRNA from 1 species